CCGAGGAGGGCACGGGGCCGUCGGACACGGCCCCCGGGGGCAGCUCUGAGCCGGUGGCCGCGGCAGGUGUGGGCCGAGAGGAGUCUGGAGCGCGGGCUGGCGAGGAGGAGGGUCCCCGGCGGGCAGAGGGGAAGCCCGUCCAGGUGGCCACGCCCAUAGUGUUCCCAUCCACGUCAGCAGAGAGAGAAGACGGGAGGAAGGAGGAGCGCAAGACCCGCGUGGGUCUUUUCCACCAUCACCACCAUGGGGCAGGCCGCAGGGGCUCCCUCGGGGAGAAGAUGGGCCUGGCCCUGGGUGCCUCCCUACACCCUUCCUCCAGUGGGGAGGAGAAAGGCAGGAGCGGCUGGUUUGGUUCCCGAGAGGGGAAGGAGCACACCCAGAAGCCCAGCGGCUCGCUGGUAGCGGCCCCCACUGCGCCCUCCCUGCCGGAGUGGGACGACACCUUCGACGCCUUUGCCGCCAGCAGGCUGCCCCCCGAUGCUGGGCACGGACUCUCGGCCCCAGCCGCAGAGAGGGGGGCCUUGGGAGCGCUCCAGGCCGGCGAUGAUGACGUGCAGAUGGCAGGGUCUCAGGAAGCUCCCAGGGGAGGGGGAGGAGGCUCAGUAUCGGCGCCAGAGGCUUCCGGACCCCUGAGUCUUGACGGCUGGAGUGUGGCCCCUGCUGGCUGGGAGUCACCUGUGUUUCGAGGACCCAGCCCCUCCUUAGCAGCCGAAUGGCCCUCACCGAGCCGGGAGCCAGAGGAGGAGACCCCCUGCCAGCGUCAGGAAGCGGACCAACACCCAGAAGCCCCUGAGGCUGCUUGUCCCAGGCCCCGAAGAAGAGUGAGCGCUGAGCAGGAGAGGUCGCCUAACCCCGGAGCAUCCACGGAGCCUGAGGAAGAGCCCAGGAGCGUGGAAAGCCACUUUUUCCAAGAGUUGAAUGUGGUUACUGAUCUCUGGUCAUCAGAGAUGGUAAACAUCCCUCCUGUGUCCAGGAGCCCCCCUCCCAUCCCAAAGAGAAGCUGGGAGCAAGAAGAGAGCCUUUGGGGGGCUCUGGAUGAACCCCCCGGCCUUCAGGAGCCAGGAUCCCCAGGGCCACCUCCAGACUCUGCAGGAGACGUGGACAGAGAAGUCUUCUCACCACCCCCUGACAAAGGGGAGGGGUCCCCUGCACCAGAACCUGGCUCUCCUCCACCCAAGCCACCACGCCUUUUCACACCCAUGAAUUCCCAGAAUGAAGAGGAAGAAAUGAACCCAGGGGAGCUGAGCAGAGAAGGGACAGAACUGUGUGUCGAAGACAUCUGCCCAGGCCUUCCGGCUCUCCACCACCAGGAUGAGAUGGAGGGGGGUGCCUUGGGUGUGGAAGAGCUCGAGAUCUGCCCCACUGUAGACCGUCCAGACCAACGUGCUUCAGAAGGGGACUCUGUCAGCUGCUGGGACCCGGUUCCCCGGGUCCCUGAGCCCGGCUCUCCACCAGCUGUCCUGGAUGUCCCUUCCCCAACACUCACCUCACAGAGCAAAGCUGGCCAGAGCCAGCAUUUCUGGGCAGUUCAGGAAGCAGAGUCUCAAUUCCUUGGCAUGUUGGGGACCCUCCAAGACAAACCUGAGCCCCCUGGCCCCCUGGUGACUGCUGGUUUGGAGAAAGAUCCUUUCUGGGCUUCUGAUGAUGAUGAUGAUGACACCUUGAGCUCCUCCUUACCUCGUGGGAGCCCAGCUUCCACCAUCCUUCCAGCCUUGCUUUCUGCUGGGGAUGAAGCUUCUCCAGAAUCUCCCAGCCUAGAACUUGUGGCCCCUCAGGAUCCCCUCCUUGCUCCUCCCCUCCCUCCCCCUCUCCCUUCUCCAUGCCCAGCCACUAAUGUGAGCAGGAAGCCUGGCCAAGAAUCCCUCUCUCUGCAUGGAAGCCGGCCCUUCUCCUUCUCUACCCCGGCCCCGAUGGACUUCCCUGCAACCCGAGGCCCCUUCGAGUUCCCCUCGCCCAUCGAGGGCUCCUCGAGCCCACAGUGGGGCAUCGAGACCCCUUCCACCCUGCUUGCGCUUCUGCCCCUGGAGACACGACCAGCUGAGGAGCCUUCGAGCCAGCCUGGCGCCAGGUGAGGGGCAGGGGGGUGGGGCUUUUCCUAGGCA
ensembl:lncRNA